rnacentral:rRNA from 1 species
UACGUAGGGUGCGAGCGUUGCCCGGAUUUAUUGGGCGUAAAGGGCGCGUAGGCGGCCACGCACGUCCGUUGUGAAAUCGCCCGGCUCAACUGGGCGGGGUCAGCGGAUACGGUGUGGCUCGAGCAAGCUAGGGGGCAAUGGAAUUCCCGGUGUAGUGGUGGAAUGCGUAGAUAUCGGGAGGAACACCAGUGGCGAAGGCGGUUGCCUGGAGCUUUGCUGACGCUGAGGCGCGAAAGCGUGGGGAGCGAUCGG